rnacentral:rRNA from 1 species
GAUGAACGCUGGCGGCGUGCCUAAUACAUGCAAGUCGAGCGAACAGACGAGGAGCUUGCUCCUCUGACGUUAGCGGCGGACGGGUGAGUAACACGUGGAUAACCUACCUAUAAGACUGGGAUAACUUCGGGAAACCGGAGCUAAUACCGGAUAAUAUAUUGAACCGCAUGGUUCAAUAGUGAAAGACGGUUUUGCUGUCACUUAUAGAUGGAUCCGCGCCGCAUUAGCUAGUUGGUAAGGUAACGGCUUACCAAGGCAACGAUGCGUAGCCGACCUGAGAGGGUGAUCGGCCACCCUGGAACUGAGACACGGUCCAGACUCCUACGGGAGGCAGCAGUAGGGAAGCUUCCGCAAUGGGCGAAAGCCUGACGGAGCAACGCCGCGUGAGUGAUGAAGGUCUUCGGAUCGUAAAACUCUGUUAUUAGGGAAGAACAAAUGUGUAAGUAACUAUGCACGUCUUGACGGUACCUAAUCAGAAAGCCACGGCUAACUACGUG